UACGUAGGGUGCAAGCGUUGUCCGGAAUUAUUGGGCGUAAAGAGCUCGUAGGCGGUCUGUCGCGUCGGCUGUGAAACCCCGAGGCUCAACCUCGGGUCUGCAGUCGAUACGGGCAAACUAGAGUAUUGCAGGGGAGACUGGAAUUCCUGGUGUAGCGGUGAAAUGCGCAGAUAUCAGGAGGAACACCGGUGGCGAAGGCGGGUCUCUGGGCAAUAACUGACGCUGAGGAGCGAAAGCGUGGGGAGCGAACAGG
rnacentral:rRNA from 1 species